rfam:TPA: Bos taurus chromosome 24, whole genome shotgun sequence.
UCCCUGGUAGCUCAGAUGGUAAAGCAUCUGCUUACAACGCGGGAGGCCCAGGUUCAAUCCCUGGGCUGAGAA